rnacentral:lncRNA from 1 species
ACCAAUAAACAGAGUUUAUGGCUGGGUUGAAGGACAGCUGCCCACUUCCGCUACCGGCCCACCUGCAACUCAUGUAAAAUAUUGAGCACUCCGGAAUUCCCUUUCUUUAUCAUGAAAACCAGCACAGGAAUCCUCAUUAUGGCCUGUGCUCAGCUCCAAACACUCACGCUCUGGGGAGCUGACAUUAUUAUCCCACUGUGCAGAUGGACAAACUGGGGUUUGCAGGGGUCGAGUGACUGGCUGAAAGCAACGCAGCUGGUGGCAGAAAAACUCGACUCACGCCCAGGCUUUUGUGGGUGUCCUUCCCUCCCCACAGCAGUGGAGUCCCUCAGCCACCCUUGGUGUGGGCAGUUGGCGGCUCCCAUCUCAGGAGGGGUCAGUGGUCACUCUUUCUGAAGGGGACAGCAGGUCACUUCAUUCCUCCUAAGCUUGGGGUAGGGCUGAAAGCAUGGGCUUCCUCCUGACCUAAGAGGGUUCAAACGUUGAGACUUUAUUAUUUUUAAAUCUCUAUAGAAGCAGAAAUGAUUUCUUCAUUAGAGAUAACCCUGUGCUGUGGGUAGAACUGUGCCCCUCCAUAAAGGUGUGUUGAGUCCUUACCCCACAGAUGUGAAGGUGACAGGAUUUGGGAACGGGGUUGUAGCUAGGUCAGGCUGGUCUACGGUGGACCCUGACCCCGAUGACUGAGGUUCUUAUAAGAGGAGAUGACUCAGAGUCACUGUCUCACCCUCCCCAUCCUUGGUAUUAUGACUGCUGCCCACUCCCAAGUCACUGAUUGUCAAAGAGGACAGACGGCCGAGGAGCCCCUGCUCAGAACAUGAGGUGACAGGGAGGCUCAGAGAGGACAGGGAGGCUCAGAGAGGAUGCCAUCUGCUCAUUGCGGCCUCUGCCCACACCUGCUCAGAACACGAGGAGACAGGGAGGCUCAGAGAGGAGGCCGUCUGCUCACUGUGGCCUCUGCCCACGCCUGCUCAGCACACGAGGCGAAAGGGAGGCUCAGAGAGGAGGCUACCUGCUCACCGCGGCCUCUGCCCACACCUGCUCAGAACGGGAGGAGACAGGGAGGCUCAGAGAAGACGCCGUCUGCUCGCCAUGGCCUCUGCCCACACCUGCUCAGAACACGAGGCGUCGCCCACUUCAGCCAGUGACCCGGCAGAAGGCACAUCCCUGAACCAGGCUCCAGUGGGUGCGACUGUGCCUGAGGAGUUGUCUGGGGCUUUUUGUGGCAGCAGCCCAGGGAUCAGGUGA